CAGCAGCCACGGUAAUACGUAGGUGGCAAGCGUUGUCCGGAAUUAUUGGGCGUAAAGGGCUCGCAGGCGGUUUCUUAAGUCUGAUGUGAAGGCCCCCGGCUCAACCGGGGAGGGUCAUUGGAAACUGGGAAACUUGAGUGCAGAAGAGGAGAGUGGAAUUCCACGUGUAGCGGUGAAAUGCGUAGAGAUGUGGAGGAACACAGUGGCGAAGGCGACUCUCUGGUCUGUAACUGACGCUGAGGAGCGAAAGCGUGGGGAGCGAACAGGAUUAGAUACCCCUGUAGUCCCUGUCUCUUAUACA
rnacentral:rRNA from 1 species